UUACAAUCGAAUUUACAUGGAUACCCGUGGUAAUUCUCUAGCUAAUACAUGCUGGUAAGCCCGACUUUUUGGAAGGGCGGUAUUUAUUAGAUAACAAGCCAAUAUUCCUCUGGUCUAUUGUGGUGAUUCAUAAUAACUGAUCGAAUCGCAAGGUGUAAACCGCGAUAAGUUUUCAAGUUUCUGACCCAUCAGCUUUCGAUGGUAGUGUAUUGGACUACCAUGGCUUUUACGGGUAACGGGGUUUGAGGGUUCGAUUCCAGAGAGGGAGCCUGCUACCGGGCUACCACAUCUAAGGAAGGCAGAAAGCGCCCAAAUUACCCAAUCCUGAUUCAGGGAGGCAGUGACAAAAAAUAACGGACCGAGGUCUUCGGGCUUCGGGAUUGCAAUGAGCCGAAUUUUCCCCCCUUCCCGAGGAUCGGCAGGAGGGCAAGUCUGGUGCCCGCAGCCUCGAUCAUUCCUACUCCAAUUUUGUAUAUUAAAGUUGUUGCAGUUAAAAAGCUCGUAGUUGGAUUUCUGGGAGGGUGCCGAUGUCCGUCGAAGUGCGUGUGCCGAGGCGCCUUCUCAUCCUUCUGUUAA
rnacentral:rRNA from 1 species